GAAGGUGUGUCGUGAGGCAUGCUGGAGGUAUCAGAAGUGCGAAUGCUGACAUAAGUAACGAUAAAGCGGGUGAAAAGCCCGCUCGCCGGAAGACCAAGGGUUCCUGUCCAACGUUAAUCGGGGCAGGGUGAGUCGACCCCUAAGGCGAGGCCGAAAGGCGUAGUCGAUGGGAAACGGGUUAAUAUUCCCGUACUUGGUGUUACUGCGAAGGGGGGACGGAGAAGGCUAUGUUGGCCGGGCGACGGUUGUCCCGGUUUAAGCGUGUAGGUGUGUGUUCCAGGUAAAUCCGGUUCACUUUAACACUGAGGCGUGAUGACGAGGCACUACGGUGCUGAAGUAACAAAUGCCCUGCUUCCAGGAAAAGCCUCUAAGCAUCAGGUAACAUCAAAUCGUACCCCAAACCGACACAGGUGGUCAGGUAGAGAAUACCAAGGCGCUUGAGAGAACUCGGGUGAAGGAACUAGGCAAAAUGGUGCCGUAACUUCGGGAGAAGGCACGCUGACACGUAGGUGAAGUGAUUUACUCACGGAGCUGAA
rnacentral:rRNA from 1 species